CUCAUUAUUGACAUUUCCCAUACCAUAUCACCCGCUUAGGACAAAUGCACAUUGUCAGAACAAUUCUUAUUACAGCCAGGAUAUAGGAUGGCGUGACUGAUUCUCCAUUUUAAUACCAUUACUCAAAGGACAGGAGACAAAAUGCAGUCAAUUACUUUGAACCAAAUACACACAAACCAUCAGCUCAUUGUGUUUUCUUAUUGAUGAGUGUUGCUGCAAUACCUGGAUUGUUUGAAUGAACAAACAGAUGCAUUGUCCAGAACUCAAAAAUUUUCCAACUCAAACAUCUUCAAUAAACAGCAUUUGCUG